GACGAACGCUGGCGGCGUGCUUAACACAUGCAAGUCGAACGGAAAGGCCCUGCUUUUGUGGGGUGCUCGAUUGGCGAACGGGUGAGUAACACGUGAGUAACCUGCCCUUGUCUUUGGGAUAACUUCAGGAAACUGGGGCUAAUACCGGAUAGGAUCUCCUGCUGCAUGGUGGGGGUUGGAAAGUUUCGGCGGUUGGGGAUGGACUCGCGGCUUAUCAGCUUGUUGGUGGGGUAGUGGCUUACCCAGGCUUUGACGGGUAGCCGGCCUGAGAGGGUGACCGGCCACAUUGGGACUGAGGUACGGACCAGACGGCAACGGGAGGCAGCAGUGGGGAAUAUUGCACAGUGGGAGGAAGCCUGAUGCAGCAACGCCGCGUGCGGGAUGACGGCUUUCGGGUUGUAAACAGCUUUCGCCUGUGACGAAGCGUGAGUGACGGUAAUGGGUAAAGAAGCACCGGCUAACUACGUG
rnacentral:rRNA from 1 species